CAAAUACUCCCUCCGUCCGGAAAUACUUGUCAUCAAAAUGGAUAAAAGGAAAUGUAUCUAGACGUAUUUUAGUUUUAGAUACAUCUCUUUAUCCAUUUUGAUGACAUGUAUUUUCAGACGGAGGGAGUAGAAA
rfam:Triticum urartu cultivar G1812 contig1046297, whole genome shotgun sequence.